GAAGAUAUUUGGCGAUCACGGUCGAAUGGCAGUUAAUACGAGAUAAUGCUGCAAAUAUUUUCAAGAAAACAUUAGCAUCCGAUAUACCAUCUUUAUGUUAAAGAUAAACAAUGAGUGCUGAAGAAUAAAUACAAGUGGCAAAAGGGUAAUUAAUUGGAUGUUUAUGGCAUGGAAAAGCAGAAUACAACAAUGACAAGACAUUAUUGACAAUUGCUUCUGUUCAUGAUAUUAGUGUAAUAGUGUUACCACUUUAUCAUUAUUUUUGUGAGCAUCGACAAUGGUUAAAAAGUGCAGAACAAGGAAGAAGAUAUUCAACAAAUUCACAUUUCUACUUUAUUAUUUUACAACACGUUACAUGUAACAUCAUUUGCCAAGAUGGUCU